AAGGCAGAGGAGUGAACAGAGCGGAAGAUCCAAUCCUUUUCGUUCUCUUUGUCGGAAUCUCUCUUUCCCAUGUAAUCUCUUUCUCCGGCGAUUUGUUCCUUCGCCUCCGUCGCUCCCAAGGGAUCCGUUAUCCUGAGGUCUACUGGGCUCGGGAUAACGCGAUCGCCGGCGAAUUUCGGGCGGAUCCGGCGUGGCGUGGCUGUAGCAGCAGACGAAGAUGGCGGCGGUCGAUUUAAGAGAUCCGGAGUGGAAUUUUAAGUGCCGGAGAGAUUUCGAGCUGCGAUUCAACAUCCCUCACAUCACCGACGUGUUCUCAGAUGCGGAGACGAUUCCUUGAGGGUUCACCGAAUAAAAUGUACUUCCGACCUCAACAAAGUGAAGGCAACAAUCAUCACCUUUACCGGGCUUUGCCCUCGUCAUGAGGCAUAUUGCCAUCGCUCCCUGAGAUAAUACGGUGUGAAAAAUGUUGUGGGAUCCCUUUUGAUUAUGGUGGCUUUUCUGAUAAGGAUUUGGCUGAAAAUGCCGCUAUGGAGGGAAGUGUUACAAAAAAUAUUCAUCUUUCUGGUGGAAGCCUGCUAGGAGUUUGCUGGAAUCGUUGAUAGCCUGCAGGCUCACAGUGCUUAUCAUGGCAUCAUUGCCAUGAAAGCAUAUCCUUAUCAAGUGGUGAUAUCGGUGUGCACAUUCAGCAAGAGCCACAUGUCAAGUAUAUAGACCCGCCGACAUAUAUGAUUCUUGAGCAAAUGCUUCAGACCGUAUCCUCGGCAUUGUGUUGGGACAAAACGCUCAGCCGCUGUGGCAUAUCGACGAAGCCUUCUUCGAUCCAAUCUAUAGUUGUUGGAAAUUCUACCAAGAGUCACUGUGGAGAGAAAUCAAGAAAAAUGAACAAAGGCUCAUCAAUCACAGAGGAAUUGCAGGGAACAUCCCAUAAAAUUUAACCAUUGGUUACUUCACUUAUUUCCACUAGGGUUUUUUGCUUCAACGGCUAUAUUCUAGCUUGACCAUGUUUUAUCUAUUUGACUUCAUUACCUUGCACUCGUCAUAUAGUAUAUAAUUUUCUUUUUUCUGCUAGUGUGGGGAAUUCCAACUACGAACC